rnacentral:lncRNA from 1 species
CUUGCAGCCGGUCUGAUCCGUCCCUUGUCCUCCCCGGCAGUAGCUGGGUUUGUUUUCGUGGGGAAGACGGUUCGCUUCGGCCCUGCAUUGACUACCGGGGGCUGAAUGACGUCACAGUUCAAGAUUCCUACCCGCUUCCCUUGUUGGCCUCCGUGUUCGAGGUGUUAUUGGAGGCCCGAAUCUUCACCAAGCUGGAUGAAUGGAAGACAGCAUUCAACACCCCCAAUGGCCAUUUUAAGUUCCUGGUGAUGUCGUUUGCGCUGACCAAUGCGCUCGCAGUCUUCCAGGGCCUAGUCAAUGUGGUCCUGGGGGACAUGAUAAAUGACUUUGUGUACCUUGACAAAAUUUAGAUUUUUUUCACAGUCGGAGGCGGAGCAUCGCGCCCAUGUGCGACGGGUGCUUCAGUGGCUCCUAGAACAUCAGCUCCCCAGGUCAUCGACAAUAGGCCCGCUUACACAGUCAGGGCCCUCCUGGCUUGUCGACAACGGGGCCGCGGGGCCUCCAGUACCUCAUGGACUGGGAGUGUUAGGUUCCGGAGGAACCGUUAUGGGUUCCGGCCAGGAAAAUUGUGGACGUGAGUCUUAUUGAAGAGUUCCACCGGGCUUACCCUGAUCUUCCCAGCCCGUCUGGAUGCUGAUGUGGCACUCUUGGAGUGCUCCUCUGUUCUUCCUCCUCUCACCCUGGUCGGAUGUGGGUUGGUUUUGCGCCUGGGAUGUUGCCCUUGAGGGGAGGGUUCUGUCAUAUCUUAGUUGUGACAUUCACCAUUGACAUUUCCUUUCUUCUUUUGCACUAUUUCCGGUUUUUGAACGAGGGGCAAUGGAGAAGUACAUCUCUGAAUCCCUGAAAAAAGGAUCUAUUCCUACAGUCCGUCAUUCACUCACUGAAGGGGCACAUCCCAGUUACCUACAUGCAAGGAGGCUGUCAAACAGAGAAAUCACUGCAGACUGUUGGUACACAGACAUCUGCUGCCCAGCUCAGGAGUGAAGGUGGUCUACAUCCAUCAUACAAUGAGUGUUUAUCCAUCAAGAAACUCUGCCUUCAUCUACAACCCAAGCAUGAAGAGAUGGCAACUCAGAUUCUUCACCCCAGGAAUCCUCAGCACCAGCUCACUAGCCUCUGUAGACUAGAUACCUGUAACAACUUUAGAUACAGAGACAUAUUACUGUCAAAUUUAUCAUGAAUGACAAAAAACAUAAUUAAAAGCAGUAAAAAUACGUUAGGUCAAUAUAUAAUUUGAACCAAUGCUUUUUGUUCCCAGGUAGGUCAUGCAGUGAUUGCUCUAAAUAUUAAUGCACAUUUUUUAAAUAAAAUUAUGUCAUAGCAGCA